rnacentral:rRNA from 1 species
CUUUAUCUGAGAGUUUGAUCCUGGCUCAGGACGAACGCUGGCGGCGUGCCUAAUACAUGCAAGUCGAGCGCGUGAAACCGGCGGAUCCCUUCGGGGUGAAACCGGCGGAACGAGCGGCGGACGGG